AGAGAAGACAGCGUGUCCGCAGAGCGGCACCUGCCUCCUCCUGCCUCAACCCCUCCCGGCCGGGGGUGCAGGAGGGCAGCCGGGGCAGCGCUCCCUGCCCGCCUGUGCCGGCUCCCCCCGCUCCUUGCCCCUCCUAAAGACCCACGUCCGAGCCCUCGUGGUGCGGAAUCGGCCCCAGUGAAGUCGGAUUUUUUUUUUCGGAAAGGGGCCCUGGGGUGCGGAGCCCGGCAGCUCCUGCCUGCGCUCGGUCCCUACCGCGGCUGGGACUUGACCUGCAGAGGGCAAUAGUUGGACGCAGAUGCUAACAAAGGCAGCGAGGCUCCUUGGCUCGGCACGGUGGCCGGGACCCAAGAAUGCUGUGUAGCCCACAUUCAGCUGAGAGGCGAUCGCCGGGGACAUGGGAAGCAAGAGCAGCCGCCGAUGUGUGAAAGCAACGAGACACGGCCAGCCAGAGGCGCCGGGGUCCCUUCCCGGGGUUUGUUAACAUGGUAAUCCGGCACCAGGAGAGAAAGCUGCUUUCUGCUGCCCAGAGCCCGUUCCCCAUCACACAUCAGAUGACUCCCUGGUUUUACACACAGUUGGAGUUCUGCUUGAAACCUGGAUUUAAAGGGAAUCUGUUGCUGCGUGUGACAUCCCUUGCGAGCUCCCAGGGAGAACUGAUGGAGCAUACAGCUAGGGAAUAGGAUGCCGGAGAAGCGCGGAGGAAGAGACCGGGCAACCACCAGGACGGGAAGGCACCGCGCCCGCUGGAUAUGGGACGGGAUCGCUCGGCUACCCUUGUGGAUUCUCCUUCUGCUAGAGGGGAAUUAUAGUUAUGGAUUUAUUGCCCCGGUGCAGCACUUCCAGCAGCAGCAGCAGCAGCUUUCUGACUCUCUUCGGUGA
rnacentral:lncRNA from 1 species